rnacentral:ncRNA from 1 species
AAUAACACGAUGAUGAGACCAGUACUAUGUGGAAGUUUACAGAGAGAGAUACGUUUGCUGAAAGUAUCUUAUUCGGAAACAUAGGAAAACCAGCUCUGAGUGGCCCUAAUCCGGUCCGGUGAUUCCGUUAUAAUCAAAUGAAGUGGGUGCUAUUUGCACCAAUAAGGGUGGAACCGCGAUGUAUAUAAUAUGCUCGUCCCUUUC